rnacentral:rRNA from 1 species
UGCGGAAGGAUCAUUGUCGAGACCCGAGGGAAUGAUUUUAGGACCUGUCAAGCAAACGUGCCGUGUCGGCGGGGUGCAAGGGAUGGGAGCACUCACUUGUCCCCCUCCUCGCCGUCCCCUUCGAACCUAUGAUGUCCCUGAACAAAUCCGGCAAGGCCCGUGCCAAGGACCUUCGUCGUUGCGGGAAAGUUGUAUCAAUACGACUCUCGGCAACGGAUAUCUAGGCUCUCGCAUCGAUGAAGAACGUAGCGAAAUGCGAUACUUGGUGUGAAUUGCAGAAUCCCGUGAACCAUCGAGUCUUUGAACGCAAGUUGCGCCCGAGACCUCUUGGUCGAGGGCACGCCUGCCUGGGCGUCAAGCCUCGCGUCGCUCCGUGCGCCCACAUCGGGUAGAUGGAAGCGGAGAUUGGCCCACCGUGCCUUUAUAGGCGCGGCGGGUUGAAGUAAGGGAUGCCGUUGGGGCGCAGGGACACGACGAGUGGUGGAUGGAAGAAUCCUUUCCGAGGCCGAUGUCGUUCCCUCCACGGCAUUUCGGUCCCCUCGCGUUGCGACCCCAGGUCAGGCGGG